GAUGAACGCUGGCGGCGUGCUUAACACAUGCAAGUCGAACGGAAAGGCUCCUGCUUGCAGGGGUACUCGAGUGGCGAACGGGUGAGUAACACGUGGGUGAUCUGCCCUGCACUUCGGGAUAAGCCUGGGAAACUGGGUCUAAUACCGGAUAGGACGAUGGUUUGGAUGCCAUUGUGGAAAGUUUUUCGGUGUGGGAUGAGCUCGCGGCCUAUCAGCUUGUUGGUGGGGUAAUGGCCUACCAAGGCGUCGACGGGUAGCCGGCCUGAGAGGGUGUACGGCCAAAUUGGGAGUGAGACAGGGCCAGGCCUCCGGGGGGGGGCAGCGGGGGGAAAUAUUGAAAAGGGGGCGAAGGCUGGAGGCAGCGCGGCCGGGGGGGGGAUGGCGGCUUUGGGGUUGAAAACUCUUUCCGCUGGGGAGGAAGCGAAAGGGCGGGUACCUGGAAAAGAAGCCCCGGCAAACUACGUC
rnacentral:rRNA from 1 species